GUGAGAGAGCAGUGAAGCAGCGACAGCUCAGCUGACUUGAGUGAUGAGAAAAAUCAGCAGCGGCUCAUGCUGUGGUGACAGACAGUGAGUGAAGUCUCAGGGUGAGCUGUCUGAACUUGCCAACUUCAGGCGAAGGCAUGCAAUAUGAAGGUGUGCCGCGCAGAACUGAUGUCAUUCAGACGAUGGAAGACCCAGAGAUGGAAAUUCUGACAGAUGAAUGACCUCAUCUGUACACACCCCUGGAUGGCUCACUGUGAGUGACCUCGCCUGUGCACAGCUACCUGACCUUUCUCUGUGAAAGACAACACCUGUCUGCACCUACGAGACCGGAAAUGAGCUGACAUGUGCCUGAGUUUUUAUCAUCAGCCUUUCUGCUGUUUGUGUCCCCAUCAGUACUUCAGAGCCAGCACAGCAGGGCAUGUUUAUACACAGUGUCUGUGUGGGGUUAUAUGGAGUGUGAGAAGGGUCCAGUGACAGGGGAACAUGUCAUGUCUGUUUGUGAUAUUUCUCCACUAGGGGGUGGUCCUGGAUUGACUAAAGAUCUCUCUCACACGCACUGCCAGUCUGUCUCUCUGUUGGGCUUGAGGUUACUUGCCGCCUUAGGAUCAGCAUGUCGUGUCAUAAGCAUUUAGUCAGCAAUGCCUCCACUUUAAAGUCAGACAUUUAAACAGUCUAUCUGUGCUUGUGUAUGAGAAUGGGGGUGACCGGGCAUGAGUCAGCCAGAGAGGCAAAGCUAAUUUGUUAUUUAGGUUAAUGUGUAAACCAAUGAGUCAAUGUCUUUAUAUACAAAUCCCAUUUAAGAGCAUCAUGCUUAUGUAGAAAUUGGCCCUUUCCAUGCUUGAGGCACAUUCAUAUAUGCACACACACACACACACACACACACA